CUGUGGCUUGUGAACAAGGGAUGAGGUUUGCUAUCAGAGAAGGAGGGAAGACAGUUGGAGCUGGUGUUAUUCAGUCCAUCAUUGAGUAGAUACUUUAGAAGAAAAUGCGCUUGGCUUUUUGAAUGGUGUUGAACUUCACCUCAGAUUUGUGCAUUUAGUUUCACCAUUUCAGCAAAACUUUUCAAAGCCACUGUCAUAUAUUUUGCAG
rnacentral:misc_RNA from 1 species